CCCUCCUGCCCCUCUUUUAUAGCUUGGAGAAUUCCCCACCAUGGACGGGAUCCCCAGUGAACACUUCUCUGUGUCCCUUCCUUCCUCAGCCAUCUGUCCAUCCAUCAGCAGGGCACCUCAGAUGGAUCCUCCUACCACGAAGACCAUUAGAAGACCAUUCCUCCCGGCUGUGUAGAUAGAUAAAUCGGUCCAUCAUCAGGAGCAUGUGUCAGUGAGAAAUGCAGUGGGUGCUGGAGGGGAUAGUCAGACAGUGGAUAAAAGGCAGCAGAUGAUCCAGAGUGGACAGACUGAAGACAAUGAAAAGCAC